GAUGAACGCUAGCUGGAGGCUUAAUACAUGCAAGUCGAGCGGGAUUGGGUAGCAAUACCCCAUGAGAGCGGCGCACGGGUGAGUAACGCGUACACGACCUACCUCUGACAGGGGGAUAGCCCUGGGAAACUGGGAUUAAUACCGCAUAUUAUUCAGGAGAAUAAAGGUCCUGAAUGAAAGCUGAGGCGGUCAGAGAUGGGUGUGCGUCUGAUUAGCUAGUUGGUAGGGUAACGGCCUACCAAGGCGAUGAUCAGUAGGGGCGUGAGAGNGUGGUCCCCCACACGGGUACUGAGACACGGACCCGACUCCUACGGGAGGCAGCAGUAAGGAAUAUUGGUCAAUGGGCGAAAGCCUGAACCAGCCAUCCAGCGUGCAGGAAGAAGGCCCUAUGGGUUGUAAACUGCUUUUAUCAGGGAAGAAACCCUUGGAUUGACUCCGAGGCUGACGGUACCUGAAGAAUAAGCACCGGCUAACUCCGUGCCAGCAGCCGCGGUAAUACGGAGGGUGCGAGCGUUAUCCGGAAUUACUGGGUUUAAAAGGGUGCGUAGGCGGCUUGGUAAGUCAGGAGUGAAAAG
rnacentral:rRNA from 1 species